GAGGAGAAAAUCAAGUUCAAAGUUUCAUUUUUAAAUUUCGCGCCGAACUUUGUAAUUCGUGACGUAAAAGACUUCAGAGAGCAUUUAACGUAUUUUGGCGCCUUUGGCUCGACGAAAUUUCCACAAACUCGUUAUGUCAAGUCUCUGGCCCCCUCAGAGGACAAUGUACUUCGAUUUAUCCGAUUAGGAACUACGUAGGCCCAAGCAGGCGCCGUCAAAACUAUGUGACUUCACGGCAAAUGGUGCCGGAUUUCCAAGGUGGCGUCGCCACCUGUAUUUUCUUUUUGCGCGUUUUAUCGUUUAUCAAGCGUCUUCGCGCAGAAAGCGUGAUGUUUUUGGUAUCGUGGAAGACUACUUUACUAAUGCGAGAAAACUCGUUUUCCUCUUUAGUGUCCCUUUAAAGUACUUCGUUUGUGUUACGUUGUAAUAUACUGGCGGAAGGCA
rnacentral:lncRNA from 1 species